CCUACGGGCGGCAGCAGUGAGGAAUAUUGGUCAAUGGACGAGAGUCUGAACCAGCCAAGUAGCGUGAAGGAUGACUGCCCUAUGGGUUGUAAACUUCUUUUAUAUGGGAAUAAACUGUUCCACGUGUGGGAUUUUGUAUGUACCAUAUGAAUAAGGAUCGGCUAACUCCGUGCCAGCAGCCGCGGUAAUACGGAGGAUCCGAGCGUUAUCCGGAUUUAUUGGGUUUAAAGGGAGCGUAGGUGGAUUGUUAAGUCAGUUGUGAAAGUUUGCGGCUCAACCGUAAAAUUGCAGUUGAAACUGGCAGUCUUGAGUACAGUAGAGGUGGGCGGAAUUCGUGGUGUAGCGGUGAAAUGCUUAGAUAUCACGAAGAACUCCGAUUGCGAAGGCAGUUCACUGGACUGCAACUGACACUGAGGCUCGAAAGUGUGGGUAUCAAACAGGAUUAGAUACCCUUGUAGUC
rnacentral:rRNA from 1 species